UCCCUGCCUUGCCCGAUGUGUUGCCAACAUUACAGAAAAGUGCUCGCACCCCCCGCGCCGCCGCCGCCACCCAUCCAAGGAUAUGCCUUCAAGCCUCCGCCUAGACCCGACUUCGGGACCUCCGGGAGAACAAUCAAGUUACAGGCCAACUUCUUUGAAAUGGACAUUCCAAAAAUUGACAUCUAUCAUUAUGAAUUGGAUAUCAAGCCAGAAAAAUGCCCAAGGAGAGUUAACAGGGAAAUAGUGGAACAUAUGGUCCAGCACUUUAAAACACAGAUCUUUGGGGAUCGGAAACCAGUGUUUGAUGGAAGAAAGAAUCUCUACACAGCGAUGCCCCUUCCAAUUGGGAGGGAUAAGGUGGAGCUGGAGGUCACGUUGCCUGGAGAAGGGAAAGACCGCAUCUUCAAGGUGUCCAUCAAGUGGGUGUCCUGCGUGAGCUUACAGGCGUUACACGAUGCACUUUCGGGGCGGCUGCCCAGCGUCCCCUUCGAGACGAUCCAGGCCCUGGAUGUGGUCAUGAGGCAUUUGCCAUCCAUGAGGUACACCCCUGUGGGCCGCUCCUUCUUUACAGCGUCCGAGGGCUGCUCCAACCCCCUUGGCGGGGGCCGGGAAGUGUGGUUUGGCUUCCACCAGUCCGUCCGCCCUUCCCUUUGGAAAAUGAUGUUAAAUAUCGACGUCUCAGCAACUGCAUUUUAUAAGGCACAGCCAGUAAUUGAGUUUGUUUGUGAAGUUUUGGAUUUUAAAAGUAUUGAAGAACAACAGAAACCUCUGACAGAUUCCCAAAGGGUAAAGUUUACCAAAGAAAUCAAAGGUCUAAAGGUGGAGAUAACGCACUGUGGGCAGAUGAAGAGGAAAUACCGUGUAUGCAAUGUGACCCGGCGGCCCGCCAGCCACCAAACAUUCCCGCUCCAGCAGGAGAGCGGGCAGACGGUGGAGUGCACGGUGGCCCAGUACUUCAAGGACAGGCACAAGCUGGUUCUGCGCUACCCCCACCUCCCGUGUUUACAAGUCGGACAGGAGCAGAAACACACCUACCUUCCCCUCGAGGUCUGUAACAUAGUGGCAGGACAGAGAUGUAUCAAAAAACUGACCGACAAUCAGACCUCAACCAUGAUCAGAGCGACCGCCAGGUCAGCGCCGGAUCGGCAAGAAGAGAUUAGCAAGCUGAUGCGAAGUGCAAGUUUUAAUACAGAUCCGUAUGUUCGUGAAUUUGGAAUCAUGGUCAAGGACGAGAUGACAGACGUGACCGGGCGGGUCCUCCAGCCGCCCUCUAUCCUCUACGGGGGCAGGAAUAAAGCGAUCGCCACCCCUGUCCAGGGCGUGUGGGACAUGAGGAACAAGCAGUUUCACACAGGCAUUGAGAUCAAGGUGUGGGCCAUUGCGUGCUUCGCCCCCCAGCGCCAGUGCACAGAAGUCCACCUUAAAUCCUUCACAGAGCAGCUCAGAAAGAUCUCGAGGGACGCUGGAAUGCCGAUCCAGGGCCAGCCGUGCUUCUGUAAAUAUGCCCAGGGGGCGGAUAGCGUGGAGCCCAUGUUCAGGCAUCUGAAGAAUACGUACGCUGGCCUUCAGCUGGUGGUAGUCAUCCUGCCUGGCAAGACCCCCGUGUAUGCCGAGGUCAAGCGCGUGGGAGACACGGUGCUGGGGAUGGCCACGCAGUGUGUGCAGAUGAAGAACGUGCAGAGGACCACGCCACAGACCCUGUCCAACCUCUGCUUGAAGAUCAACGUCAAGCUGGGAGGCGUGAACAACAUCCUGCUGCCCCAGGGGAGGCCGCCCGUGUUCCAGCAGCCCGUCAUCUUUCUGGGGGCCGACGUCACUCACCCGCCCGCUGGGGAUGGGAAGAAGCCUUCCAUCGCUGCCGCAGCAGAUCGCCUCCGACAGGCCACUGCCCCUUCCCGCGCCGUGGGCUGGGGUGGCGACGUGUCCCCGCCGCGCUCCGGGCGCAGCCAGAGCAGCGCUCCUCCUCGCCCGGCAGGUCGUGGGCAGCAUGGACGCGCACCCCAACCGCUACUGCGCCACCGUGCGGGUUCAGCAGCACCGGCAGGAGAUCAUCCAGGACCUGGCCACCAUGGUCCGCGAGCUCCUCAUCCAGUUCUACAAGUCCACGCGCUUCAAGCCCACGCGCAUCAUCUUCUACCGCGACGGCGUCUCCGAGGGCCAGUUUCAGCAGGUUCUCCACCACGAGUUGCUGGCCAUCCGCGAGGCGUGCAUCAAGUUAGAAAAGGACUACCAGCCGGGGAUCACCUUCAUAGUGGUACAGAAAAGGCACCACACGCGGCUCUUCUGCACCGACAAGAACGAGAGGGUUGGGAAAAGUGGAAACAUUCCAGCAGGCACAACUGUGGACACGAAAAUCACGCACCCGACCGAGUUUGACUUCUACCUGUGUAGUCACGCCGGCAUCCAGGACGUACAGGGAAGGUCACCAUGUGCCCCAUCGUCACCUCAAGACUGCUGGCCUCUGCCCACCGGUGAAGGGGCCCACAGGUUUUUGCCCCUAAGCGUUCUCCCACUGAGUCCUCCGUGCAGAGGGUGACGGAAGCGUGGCUUGUCAGCAGUGCCCUCGUGUAGAUUCUCACCUACCAGCUGUGUCACACCUACGUGCGCUGCACGCGAUCCGUGUCCAUCCCGGCGCCAGCAUACUACGCCCACCUGGUGGCUUUCCGGGCCAGGUACCACCUGGUGGACAAAGAACAUGACAGUGCUGAAGGAAGCCAUACCUCCGGGCAGAGUAAUGGACGAGACCACCAAGCGCUGGCAAAGGCAGUCCAGGUUCAUCAGGACACCCUGCGCACCAUGUACUUUGCUUGACAUGUUUUAGUGUUUACGAUUGUGUACCGAGUUGGAUUCACAUGAGACCAGCUACACUCAGACCAACAGAUGCCCAGCCCUUCCGUGACAGCCAGCAUCGAACAUGAGACGUCAUUGAUUUUAGUAGAUUCUCCAUUUUCCAGAAUGCCUUCCGUCCCAGAUUUCAAACUUGGAUUUUGAACUGCAGACCUGUAUGAGACCCCAUUGUCGUAGGAAAUAUGGUUUGCCAAAAUCUAUAAGCUGCUUAUUAAAAUAGAGUCCCGUGUUUCCUAAAAAUCUCCUAAAACCAGUCUAUGAACUCAGGGCUUUAAAACAUUUUUAAUUUAUUUGGUCAUUCAAUUUACUUGUUUUUAACACAUGAUUCUCUAUGGAAUUGGUGGGCUCAAACUAGCUGUGAACGUUCUCAGAGAGUGAAAGCAACACAGAGCACAGCUGUGGUUUUAAAGCCUUGAGCAUUCUGAGGUGGUCACUAAAGUUUAUGUCAGAGUGGUACUAGGGUGCCCCUGACAGGGCUGGCGCCAGCUCUUCGGGACCGAGGGCAGGUGGCCCGCCGAGGCGCCCACCGGCGUCUAGAACCGCCACUGCCCGCCUCUCACUCAGCUCGAAAUAAGGAGCGGGGGCAGAAGAUGGGCCGUGUGUGUUUACAACAUUUAUAGGUCCAGAGCGAUUGGCAGACAAGUGCCAUUUUAAUAAAAAUUUAUUUAAAAAAAGAAAAAAGACAGUAUGCUGACAGUCUAAUCAUAAGAUUUGUCCUAUAGGACUGUGACAUUUAUUUUCCAAAGUUUCUAAAGAAUACGGGUCUGUGGUGAUAAAUACAGUACAAUCCUUUUUCACUGUUAUGUCUUUAAUGUAAGAGAAAAAAUAUAUAUAUCUGGUUUGCAGUAUUAAUGUGAUAGAUAGAUGCUGUUUUUCAUUUUAUUGACUACGGGGUGCUUAUUGUGAUCUGUUUAGCAUAUCACGAGUGUUUGGGAGCCUGGUGACUGGACCACCUCCUGUGGUUCUCAGUGCUGACGUACAGGAGUAUGCACUUGAGUCAAUGUGACCGCCACCCGCCUUCCCCCGCGUAGACUGCGUAGCCUUGUACCUUCAGGAGGACUGGGCGCGGGCACGGCGGCCCCGCGCCGCCGCCGCCCCACCUCCUGUCCCCGCGUGUUGCUCAGCCGAUGAAGCACAAACGGAAUGUAUUUAUUCUUCCAUUCCUGGGAAACAAGUCCAUGUGUCAGAGUGUCCCUCUCUCUGUGUAUGGUUCUGUUAGACGAGUUUCGUAGGAUCUAUGCACUGAAACGCGCAGAGAGCUGGCGGCCCUGCGGCGAGCCCCGGCCCUCGGAGGUGGCGGGCUGCGAGGCCGGCAGAAGGGAUUUGCGUUCGGGGCCCCAGACGUGGGUUUGCCCAUCUAGAAACCGUGGCACUAAGCGUGGUACCAUGGACAACUUGAAAAGGGGUAACAGCGGACAACUCUGUUUGUGCUAAGUGGGCUGUUUGUCCUUGUAGACAAUUAAAAAAAAAAAAAAAUCAAAUCCACGUUCAGUGUAGAGAUGCCGGGAAGGAGACGCGCCUUCCCCUAGUGCUGCUUUGUGCUCUGUCGGUUUCCCUCUCCCUGCUGACGGCCCCCCCCCCCCCCCAAGCCCAGCCUGACAUUUACCUCUGGCACUGCGGUGGGGCGAGGGUCCCGACGGGGCGCCUCGUGCUGGAGAUAGCGCCCACCCUGUCUUCUUGUCUGCCGGCUCUGGGGCGCGGGAGGGGCAGGGAACCGUGGCGGAGCGGUGGUGGACACUCGGCCGAGAUUUGGGUGGCGAUGACAAAGGGGUGACUAUUAUUUGUGAAGAUAUAUACUCAGAGUGAUGUGUGCGUGUGUGUGUCUGUGUGUGCAUGUGGGUGUCUUAUUAAUGGCAUUAGCCUCUUCUUGCUGUAUCUUUUGUUUCUGGGUUUGUUUGGGUUUUUUUUCUUUUUCUUUUUCUUUUUUUCGGUCUUUUUAAACGAACAGAAGCCUCUGCUCUAAGAAAUGUUGCAAUUCCCUGUUGUUUUAUUGGCAAGUGGCACUUUCUCCUCUUUCAGAAGGACACCAAUACACUCUUGGCUUAAAUUACCAGGAGCAUUCCAGCUAAGGGGGGAGUCUUUUCACUAAUACACUUUUGAAAUCUAAAAUUAGGUUAGUUUUCAGCCAUCUUUAGGAUCAUCUAGAACCAUGUGUCUCAAAGGUGUGUUUUUACUCCCGCAACAGGGUCCGGGUGGUUGGGCUGGUGGUGGUGCUUGGUAAAAAUGCAGACUCCUGACCCCGGGUCUCCGGGGCCGGGGCUGGACGUCUGUAUUUGAUACCAUCAGCUGGGGCUCCAGGGCUGCCUCAAGUCUGAGGACCCCUGAUCCAGAGCUUUCUGAGGAGCCCUCUCCCCCGAGCACGAGGGCCCAGCGGGGAGGGGCCGUUUGGCAGCACAGGCAGAUGCUCGUGAAGGCAACACCCAGGAGAGAUCGCAUGCUGGCAGAAAAUUAGAUCGGAAAUUUUUUUUUAUCAUUUUGAAGGAAAGGUUUUAAUUUUAAUGGGCCAGAGUACUUUGAGAAGGGUUCUUUUCGUAGCCCUGUGCUUGUUUUAUAAAACUUUUAAUACUAAAAGCAUUAAUAGACCAAACGUCUCCAGCUAGCUUAGCUGCACACCUUUGUACGCAUCUGAUGAUUCAGAAUUCAAAUGGCUGUAGUUACAAUUUCUCAGGUAAAUAAUUGUUUUCCCAAAUUUCUACCGGUGCCCCCAUUAUUAGGAUAAAUUUUGAGAUAGCGUAAAACCUCAAAGUGCAGUAGACUAAGUCUGAGCCCAGUUCCCGUGGAAGCCAGAAGGGGCCCUUGCCCGUCUCUAACUGCGCUUGCUCCCACCCCAAGGGCUGCCUCGGCCUCCGUGGCCCCAAGAGGGCUCAGGCUCCCGGGGUAGCUCCGUCCUCCGCCUGCGCUUGGUCGCCCAAGGCCUGGGGCCCUUGCAGAUUUGAGAGGCGUCUGCGCGCUGGCUUUGCCCUACCCCACUGUUAAGUAAGGUGUGCCUUGCUUUAAGCAAACUGAAUGUGAAAAUUAUGAUGUAGAAAUCUGGACUCAUUUAAAAGAAAAACUGGGAUUUAUCUCGUCUCUUUAAAAGAGGUCUCCCGAUCAGAUUCUUUUACUGGUACUCUUCCUAGUAGAUUUUAAAAUGUUCACUUUAAGAAGAAUGACCGUUCCCACCCCUUCACCACUGUCCAUUCUGUCCGCCCUCCCAUCACCCCAGUGACAGAGCAAUGAAGGAAGCCCAGGGGAGCCGAGGACGGCCGCCGCGUCGUGGAAGUGCCCUUUGGUGAUGCCGAGAUUCCAUCCUGCCUGUGUUCUCCAAGCUCAGACUUCCCUAGUUCUGAUGCAUUUUUGUAAAACUGGGCACACGUGUGCUUUUAGAGAGGGAUUGUUUGGUUUUGGUUUUGGUUUUGAGAAGUCUUCCCAUACACACUUUUGAUACAACAUCGUAGGGUCUGCUUUUACUUUUUAAGGUGACGUUGCUUUUCGGUAGUGUUCUCACACUCCCUUGGAUGAAUGUUUGCUCUCUAGAGACACAGGCGACCCCUGGCCACUGAGCAGGCUGGCCCGAGAGGGACGCGGCAGGAGCGGAGUGAUGUCCGUGUUCUGGGAGGUUGGCCGCGGUCACUGCUAUUACUGAUGUUUACCCCUGGUCACGGAGUGCUCGUUGGAAAAGACAGUUGGAGUUCAGUUCCUACAGCCGGGGGGGGGGGGGGGAGGGGGGGUUGCUUUUACUGAUGUUAUAUUAUAUGUUAUUUUUAUUGUUGUUAAAUGCAAAUGUUGCUAUUUAUUUUUUUCUUUCUGCUCUGGUUCGAUUUGGCCGAUGUGGAUAUCCCAGUGCAUGUGGUACCUGAUGGAUAUGAUAGCAAUUAUUUUCCCCAACUUUUAUAAAUUGCCGAAUGUUUACCUGCAAGUUUGCCGGAUGAUUUAUUUUUGAAAGCCACAAAUGUAAUUUUUCUGAAUGAAUUGUUUUUCUUAUAUAUGCAGCAAUGUAAUUUUACAUUGAUCUGCAGGGUGAUUUAAAUUUUAUUUUUACAAGGCAGUUUUUCAGUCAAAUUAUAUAUUUGAUACAAUAUGUUAAGGGUAGACCAGCCAAGCGUCCUGCAGUAGUUGGGACCCAGACUGUCUCUGGGGGCCCUGGGGGGCUGGGACGGCUUCUCUCGGUUGCUCGUCGUCAUGGAAGCACUUGGCUUGUUUCGUGGAGCCGUCAGGAUCUGGAUGUACUCCUUCAACGGGACUUUGAUCUGGUGGACAGUUAAAAGGAUUUUUCAUGGGCAUUUUCCACACUUAAGGCAGUUCCAUUAGGAGGAGCUUUAGAAGUUGACAUAAUCCAGACAGUGGACAAUCCCAGUGGCCCAGACAAGCCAUAGAAAUCUCCCUGUGACCUCUCUCUGACUCAUCUCUCACGCUCAUGAGAAAGGAAUGUACAAUAAACAGAAACUUCCUCAGUGUUUGUGCGCCUCACUUUCAGAAUGCAAAUAUUUUAUUUAUAUUUUAAACCCUUCCCCAAAGUAACCGAGAAGAAUCUCUCUAGCCGCCCUGCCUGCAGGCUCGGCUGCAGUGACGUGUGUUCAGUGUAGACACGGUGCACGUGUUAACUCUCUGACACACACAUGCUGACUCUUUUGUAAGGAAAAUUUUCAACUCAAAAUAAUUGCACUGAUUUUUUGACAACUUCCUUUUUAUUAUGUCCAACUUUGCAUCUGCUGUACUUGUUUGAAACGAUUGUAAAUAGAUUUAGGUUAGCAAAAAUGAUAUGAACACAACACGUCGCUCUGUUGUAGGGACGGCCACGUUUCCAGUAUUAUGUGUUAGAGCCGCGUGGGCUCUGCUCUGCCUCCAUAACCGCGUCUGUUGACCAUUCAUGAAGGACAAACGAGCCUCGUGUUCUUGUUUCACAGAAAGGAAGUUUGCAGUCUGUUGAAAGGAGAGUCCGCUCUCCCCUUGAGGUCUGAAGAUUUGAUUUUAAGAGGAUUCAUUAUAAAUCCUUUGAACACUUUUGGGUCUGUUUAAUUCCUUUUUGUUUUCCCAUGGCUCCUUGAUGCGUUUUCUUCCGGUCCCAUCCAGCAUCUGACGGUCUGGAUAGGAAGCCCCUGCGUGGCCAGUGUGAACAGACAGCUAGCGAGGGGCCCCCCUCGCUUCUCUCUCUGGUCAGCCACCGUUCUGAAGACGUGAGAUCACUGUGGUGUCAAAAGUGUCAUUUGCGGCUUAUCCCAUACAUAGAUAGAUGCCGGAGAGACCUGAAAUCCAGUGCUGUUCCUUUAUGCCUUGCGAUACUGCUAGAUUAGAAGGACAUGCUCCAGCCCACAGUGUGUCAUUGUUCGUGGUCAGGCUACCCAGAAUCGGACACACACAGGAGCUUUUAGACCCGAACCGGUCAUGAGUGUGUGUUUGAUGCCAUCGCGGUGCCCUCCCUAAUGCUUUGUUGGUUACGUUUUGCCAUUUUAUUGUCUAAAGUGAAUGUAUUGGCUUAGCCAAAUCACUACAGAAGGUGGUUUCUAAAUACCUUUUAGUUUAAAAAGAAAGAAAUGCAGAUAAAGGCUACCUCUGAAUUCUCAAUAGGUUCAUGCUUGUUCUUAAGCGUAGCUAUCCACACUGAAAAUAGCCAAAAUGUUGCCUGAAUAAACUGAAUGGCGAACAUCUCUCUCUCUUCAGUUCUGGCUUGAAAAUGUGUGUGCCAUACUGUGACCCGUGGGCAGUCCCCUUCUCGCCCUCGGGGGUAUCAGAGGCGGACCGGGGACUCCUCAGGGCUGCCCAGCUCAAUAAUGUAGGGUUCUAGGCAGCCAGCGGGCAGAAAAUGGAAAAGCUUCCCGCGCCGUCCUCACAGGCUGGCGGGGGCAUCUCCACGCAGGGCCAGGGGUGGGGGAGCCCUGAAACGGCCUGCUGUCCUGGCUUUUCACUUUCCUGUUUGCUGUAAGAAAGCACUUUCUUCUCUGUUUUACUCAUGAAUGGGUUGGAAAUGGCUCCCUCUGCACUCUUCUCCCUUUCUAUACACCCUGUAAAAUCACGAAGGUGCUGGAACACCAACUCUCUAAAUAAUGCAUCUAAAGUGGCUGUAUGGUUCAAAAAAACACGCAGCUAUAGUUGAUCUUUGACUUCGGAACCUUGAGUUACCAUCAUUUCCUACUUAAACAUGACCUGCGGUUUAAAAGCAAAAUGUUCUGUUCGAGUCCAGGGCCCUUUGUUGGAAAGGAACGCGGGGUCCACAGCCAGCACUGAAGUAGGAGCUCCCGCUGCCGGCACCCUGGGUCCUCUGAUGCUAACUGACAGGCAGUCUGCCCCGACAGAGAUUGCUCGGGCUCGGGGUACCCCUCCUUGUGAUCAGCCACUUUGCUGUCCGGAUGUCCUUUGCCCACACACUGUGUGUGGGUCUGUCAGUGUCCCCUCUGCCCCCUCCUUCACGUCUCGUCUUUAGGUUCUCUACGUUCUCUCGUCUUUGGAGGGUUCGAACUUGCUCCAAAACACCUCCAUUGGUUUGCGCUUAAAUUCUUGAGGGGCAGGCAGGUGGUUGUGCAGUCCCAGACAUCUGGGUGCGUGGAGGUUGCUCUGCUCCCUCGCUGGACGUUCAUCAGACACUGACGUCGGCCCAGAGAGGUUCCAAGUAUGACGUUACCGGGAAGGUUUUGCCUUUAGCACUGUUGUUUUGGGUUUUGAUGCUUUUCAUGCCUCGUGGCGUGCUUUAAUUCUGAAAGAGCUAAGUGUCCUUUGCAGUCUUUCUAAGAAUGUUUUGUACUUCUGCGAUUACACUGUUUUGUAGAUACAGCCCACCCCAAGAUGCAUGGAUGUUUUGGGCGGGUAGCCACAUCUGCUGACCUGCUUCUGGAACUGCUUGGGUGCUCUGCGUUGGCCUCAUUUUCAACCAGAAUCCCAUUCAGGGUGUUUCGGGGGACACUGCACAGUGGCCCUCUCCUUGAUUCCGUAAUGUGAACUGUUGAACUCAGACCUACCCCUCAGCUUUUUGCAUACAUGUCUCCAGAAUCCCGGGGUGGGCCUCUCCCACCAUCUUUGCAUUCAUGAGAAAUUAUCUGAGAAGAGGGAACUGAAGAUUACUGGUGCUUUUGUUAACACUUUUCUCUUAUUGGUCGAUGUGAAACAUUUAGAUGUGUUAGCAUCUUUAAAUGCCCUUGGUGGUAUGACUGAAGAGUCGAAUCCUCACCUCACUCCCAUUCCCUUUUUGGGGGGUGGGAGGAGGCCGAAUUAUCUUCUAUUUACAACCUCCUUGGAUUUAAGUAGUUCAGAGUUAAAGCUAAAACACCAAAUAUUAACUCUUCCCCCCGCAAGUGUCUCCAGGAACCUAGAUGUUGAGGCUGCCCUCCAGUAAGUACCUUCUGAAUCAAGGUCCUUAAAACCAUGAGUUGAUCCCAAGAACACCCCCACACAGUCGGGUCAGGGGUGCGAUGCAGGCUGACUGCUUGGCUCCUUGGCACCACUUGGCAGAACUAGGUGCUCGCGUUGGGGAGCCGAGGCUCCUUGGAACUCUAGAGAGACUGUGGGAAUGAUCUCGGGGCGGGGGUAGAGGGCAGGUCCCUCAGACCCUGGGAGCAGGCGGCACCAGGCCUUCCUCUGGUCUCCAUCAGUACCAGACUGAGCGUGUUCUGGAAGACCCAGUCUCAGCCUCUGUGCCUUUAAAGUCUGGUCCUCAGUGUCCUUUUGGAAUCAUGUUGGGGCUGUGUUUUUAUUGGGAAGUAAGCCUGUACCAUUCCACAAGUCAGUCGUUGACCUUCUGCCUUUGAAGCUGUGUCUGCUCCUCAGCUCCUGACUCAGUAAACUGUGAUGCCCGCGCACACUGCCUCGUGUCGGAAAACGUGAGGUUCUCGUAGUCGCAGGACUUCCUUCCCAAGUCCACGUCCACUGGGAUUCCAGGAAAUCCGCAUAAGAUCCAUCUCUUAGUCAGGCAUUGACCGUGGCCAUCGGCAGAACCUGGUGGCUUUGUCCUCGGAGUCAUUCACCAAGCUAAAUAUUUAGUGUCCUGGAACUAGGUUUCUAGAAGAGGAAUUGGAAUCGUGUCUCUGUGAAUUGCGUGUGAAGUCCUCAGACAUAAGGUGCUAUUCAGUCCUAUUGUCCUUAUUCGGGGAUGCUUUCUGUUCGUGUCGCUCUGUUCCGUGGUGUGCGGGGAAGCUGCUGACUUGGGUGAGCUGUGCAUAGAGGACUCCCAGUUUUGACAUGCCUAAAAUGCAUUUUUUAUCUCUUAACUUUUCCAAGCCAGGUACUGAGCAGUUCCUUGGCUGAUGGUCUAAUUAAAAACAAAAACAAAAACCACCUUACCCUGUCAAGGGAUGAUUUUAUUGCUUUUAAGUGGGGGAAAUAAUCCAAUGUUAUUUAUUUUUAAAAUGCAUAGAAACUCAUUCUUGGCGGCUCCUCUUGGCCCUUCCUUCUACUGAGCUGUCCAUUUUGAAAGGCAAAGGUCUUUCCCUCGGCAGAGGCGCCCGCUGCAGAGGGGAGGAUAUGUUACUAAUUUUGGGUUCCUCUUCAAAGCCAAAUAUACAUGUGACCGAACUCCUGAAGGUAUGUAGUUUUAGCACUAAAUUGGAAUUUGAGUCCUGAGUUUGAUAGUGGAUUUUAAUGUAGUUGUUGAAGGUAUGAAUUCAUAUUUUAUAACCGUAGAGGCAAGUGAGUUUUUACUUUUUAAAAAGUUUUAAGAGCAUAAUUGUAAGUUUCCGUGCAGCAGGGUGGCGAACUCGUUAAAUACAAGAAAAGAAUGUAGUGUCUACAUGCAGAUUUGUCUUACCUCUGGUACACUGCGGCUUACUUACCGAAUACGUAUGGAGGGCUUUUAACCCUGAGUUUUAUCAACUUUUCUAGUUUUAUUUUAUUUUUAUAAAAUAAUUGAAAAAGAACCAAAAAUGAAUUCAGAAGUUCCAUGGGUGGAUCUUGCUUGCCCCUUCUUAAUUUCCCCCACAAUAAAACAUUUUAGAAGAUAUUUUGAAUCGAACUGUAUCGUGACCAUUGGGAGUUUACUGUUUUCUAAGAAGCUGAGCAGCUACAGGGGCGCCCGUCGGGCGGUCCUGUGCGUACCGUCUGCAACCCGUUCGUAGCUGUGCGGCCGGUCUCUUGCAACGGCGUCUUGUGCUUGUGGUAGAGAACCCGUGCAGUGCUGUUUUGUAAAUUCAAAGUUCCUGUAUAAACUAGUAUUUAUAUACAUUGGCCUCUCUGUAUGAUUUCUCAUUUGCUACAUGAAUUGUAAAACUCGUUAUAAAAUUAUAGUACCUGCUAAAUACACUUCUGAGGCUUCACGUCCUUGUCUCUCGUUUCAUGCCAUUCCCUGUGUGUUGAGGAUGUCCAAUGCUUGCAUGAUGCUAGGUGGUAAUGCCACUGUAACUCAAGCCUUAAUCAGAUGUUAAAUUGUAAGUUUCAGAGUAUGCAAAAAUAUUAGGCAGUGAGUUUAAACUGUUCAGAUCAAGAUGCUAUAUCAUAAUCCAACCAGUCUUUUCUCCAGAGUUACAAAGGGAAACUUUCAGUGAUCCAGAUCUCUCGCUCUCGCUCGCUCGCUCUUUCUGGUCUGUCUGGGCUGUUGCCAUUGCUUGAUGAAAAUGGACCAUUGUGCAUUUCGGUGGCAGUCAGUCAAGAAGACCUAUUCUGAAAGUCUAGAGACUUUUUCAGGGUUACUUUUAAAGGUUUGGCUUUUUUCCCUCCAGUCUGAGAUUUAUUUAUGGCUGAUGGAGAGUAUGAUUUGGGCAUCAGUCUUACUUGCUAACCUGCUCACGUUCCAAGCUUUCUUCAGGUACUGCCACCUGCCAUCGCUUCUGCAUAGGGUUAUAUGGAUUUUUGUUUUUGUAAAAGCAUCUUAAAUUUAGACAUAAAAUGGAGGGGACCCAGCUUUCUUUACAAUGUGGAUCUACCUCAGUUAAACAGUUGGGUGCUAUUUACUAAGUCUGUCAAAUUAAAUUGGAAAAAGUAACCAAACAGCAAGAUAUAACUCCACACAAAGCUUGAAACCAUAAUUUCCGUUUAUUUAAUAAAUUUUUAUUUAUUUUGUGCCUUUUGUGUUGAAUCCUAAUGCAUUGAAAAAAAUCCAUAUGAAAUGGAGUGUUUUCUAUUGCAGGUGGGGAGAAAAGCCCAAUUGGCCAUGGAAUUUGAUAGAUUACCCCCAGCCAACUAGUCACGUCUAUUGAAAUCCCAACUGCCCUCUUGUGAAAAGAAAAGAAAAAAAUGUCCAAGAGCAAAUUAACAUUUUACAAACAAAUUCCAAGCUCUUCUAUGCACAUACCGACAGCUCUCUCUUCAUUUUCUGUGCCAAUGAAGAGGCAGCCACGAACAGCUCAUGCGCGCUCCUCCUGUGGCUUGUGUGGCCAUCCGCGCCCCCUGCUCCCCUGGCAUAUUGUGUUUCCCGUGCAGCCAGUGGACUGUUGUCCAUCCUGGUGCAGGUGCUGCGCCCGCGGGCAGCCGGGGGAAGCGGGGUGCGGGGGGCCGGCUGGAGGGGGCGGCACGCCUGCACUCAGCAGCAGGCCCGGGGUCGCCAUGAGUUAGGCAAGCUUUCUGGCAGGUGAGAAACUAAGGUAGGAGAUCGAUGAUUUUCCAUGCUUUUAUAUUUGGCAGUUUACAAUUCUAGACUUUUCCUACUAUGGUGAUCUUUUUUAACUUAAUUCUUUGGAGGUAACACAAUAUUUUGGAGUCUUAAGAAUUUGAUUUUAUACCAAUAAGAAAUAAAAAGUAGGGCUCUUUCCUGUAGUAUAUAGUUUUACUAUUUUAAAGAGAUCUCUGAAUUUUACAAGAGGACCAACAUUCCUUAGUGGCAAAACUUUUGAAAGUUGAUUUGGGAGGCUUUUUGCUGCAGGAUCUCGAAACAAAAUGGGAUGAUUCUAGUUAAGUGUUCUCAUUGUUAAGCGUCCAUCAGGUCAGUACUUCAGCUGUUUUGUAGAGUCGCUCCCCAGUUAGUAUGCUGCAUAUAGAGAUCAGCAUCGUUGCACUUUCUCAGUAGUGAUGAGUGCCCCGCAAUCGGCUCACCAGUCAGCAUUUUGUUCUUUGACCUAACAAGAGUACUUUGGGGCAGGUGAUUAAAUUUAUAUAGGUACCUCAAGAAAAAGAACCUGAAUAUGCUGCAUUUUGUUUCUUUAGCUUUUAUAUGUAGCAUUGUUUUGCUCUUAUUAUUUUGUUUUUAGAUCUAUGCUUUUUGGACCCCAAUAGACUGUUGAAAGAAAUUUUAAAGUUACUCUUGUCGGGACACAGUAUCCUUUGUUUUUGUCUUUUCAACUCCAGUAUCUGGUUCAAAGGUUGCCCACCAGUAGAAUACUACUUUACCCAAAUAUACCCGAGAAAAAGGGUACCGUGUAUGCAAGCAGACAAUAAUGUUCCCAGUCCUUUCUGUUCAUGCUGCUUUCUUAAUUCUUUUCUCCAUGUCAUCAAGAGGUUUGGAGAACUUCCUCCUAAGGUCGGACUUAGACAUGAUGGCAUCUGAAUGUUUUCAACACAGACCUCACAGAAUUGCCAUUGAGUAAGUAGCAUGAUCCUAAAGGAAUCCCUGGCCUCAGGCAGCCGGACGGCUCUGGUCUCCGAAGAGCCAGUCUUCGCGUUUCUCCAUCCCCAGCACUCACCCUCACCCAGCAGAUGGGGAGUGGUCUGGAUUGACAAAAGAUAAACCGGUGAAGAGAGCUAAAGGCUGAGACACUGAGCAUCUAUUGUCGUGUUUAAGCUUAGCUGGGUCCUUUCGAGUUUGUUUUACAGCUUACUAGGUUACGUAGUUUGCACUAUUUUUGCAAUAAAUUCAUGGAAAACCUAACAGUUAACUUGUUUUGUUUCUUACUGUGUGUAUAUAAACUAAUACUAAAAGUUUGGCAUAGUGUUUUUUCACCUCCUUACAUAACCCUUAACAUGCACAGAAUGCUGUAAAUCUGAUAAAAUAUGAUGUGAAUGAUAUUUUAUAAAGUUAUUUUGUAUGGUGUCAAUUUUGUUUUGCCUCAUAGUAUGUCAGCAAAAAAUAAAAUAAAAUUCCUCAUAUUUACA